CUCAAAAUGUCUGGGUUGCAUAACCGCUUGACUCAGCUGGGAGUUAAUCUCCCGGAUGACGCGGUCAUUAACAGAAUCCUUCAGUCGCUUCCACCAAGCUACAAGAGCUUUGUGAUGAACUUCAAUAUGUAGGGGAUGGAAAAGACCAUUCCUGAAGUAUUUGCAAUGCUGAAAUCAGCAGAGGUAGAAGUCAAAAAGGAACAUCAAGUGUUGAUGGUGAAUAAAACCACUAAGUUCAAGAAAGGCAAGGGUAAGAAGAACUUCAAGAAGGACGGCAAGGGAGUUGCCGCGCCCGGUAAGCAAGCUGCCGGGAAGAAGCCAAAGAAUGGACCCAAGCCCGAGACUGAGUGCUUUUAUUGCAAGGGAAGUGGUCACUGGAAGCGGAACUGCCCCAAAUACUUAGCGGACAAGAAGGCCGGCAUCACAAAAGGUAUAUGUGAUAUACAUGUAAUUGAUGUGUACCUUACCAGUACUCGUAGUAGCUCCUGGGUAUUUGAUACCGGUGCGGUUGCUCACAUUUGUAACUCAAAGCAGGAGUUGCGGAAUAAGCGGAGACUAGCGAAGGAUGAGGUGACGAUGCGCGUCGGGAAUGGUUCCAAGGUCGAUGUGAUCAUCGUCGGCACGCUACCUCUACAUUUACCUACGGGAUUAGUUUUAAACCUCAAUAAUUGUUAUUUAGUGCCAGCUUUGAGCAUGAACAUUGUAUCAGGAUCUCAUUUAAUACGAGAUGGCUACUCAUUUAAAUCCGAGAAUAAUGGUUGUUCUAUUUAUAUGAGAGAUAUGUUUUAUGGUCAUGCUCUAAUGGUGAAUGGUUUAUUCUUAAUGAAUCUCGAGCGUAAUGCUACACAUAUUCAUAGUGUGAAUACCAAAAGAUGUAAGGUUGAUAAUGAUAGUCCCACAUACUUGUGGCACUACUGCCUUGGUCACAUAGGUGUCAAACGCAUGAAGAAGCUCCAUGCAGAUGGACUUUUAGAGUCUCUUGAUUAUGAAUCAUUUGACACGUGCGAACCAUGCCUCAUGGGUAAGAUGACCAAGACUCCAUUCUCAGGAACAAUGGAGCGAGCAACCAACUUAUUGGAAAUCAUACAUACUGAUGUGUGCGGUCCAAUGAGUGUUGAGGCUCGCGGUGGCUAUCGUUAUGUUCUCACCCUCACUGAUGACUUGAGUAGAUAUGGGUAUGUCUACUUAAUGAAACACAAGUCUGAGACCUUUGAAAAAUUCAAGGAAUUUCAGAGUGAGGUUGAGAAUCAACGUGACAGGAAAAUCAAGUUCUUGCGAUCAGAUCAUGGGGAAGAAUACUUGAGUCACGAAUUUGGCACACACUUAAGAAAAUGUUGAAUAGUUUCACAACUCACGCCGCCUGGAACACCUCAGCGUAAUGGUGUGUCCGAACGUCGUAAUCGCACUCUAUUGGAUAUGGUGCGAUCUAUGAUGUCUCUUACCGAUUUACCGCUAUCAUUUUGGGGCUAUGCUUUAGAGACUGCCGCAUUCACUUUAAAUAGGGCUCCGUCGAAAUCCGUUGAGACGACACCGUAUGAAUUAUGGUUUGGGAAGAAACCUAAGCUGUCGUUUCUAAAAGUUUGGGGAUGCGAUGCUUAUGUCAAGAAACUUCAACCUGAAAAGCUCGAACCCAAGUCGGAAAAAUGUGUCUUCAUAGGAUACCCUAAAGAAACUGUUGGGUAUACCUUCUACCUCAGAUCCGAAGGCAAGAUCUUUGUUGCCAAGAAUGGGUCCUUUCUAGAGAAAGAGUUUCUCUCGAAAGAAAUAAGUGGGAGGAAGGUAGAACUUGAUGAAGUAUUACCUCUUGAACCGAUAAGUGGCGCAGCUCAAGAAAAUGUUCCUGAGGUGCCUGCACCGACUAGAGAGGAAGUUGAUGAUGAUGAUCAUGAAACUUCAGAUGAAGUUGCUACUGAACUUCGUAGGUCCACAAGGACACGUUCCGCACCAGAGUGGUACGGCAACCCUGUCUUGGAAAUCAUGUUGUUAGACAACGGUGAACCUUCGAAUUAUGAAGAAGCGAUGGCGGGCCCGGAUUCCGAUAAAUGGCUGGAAGCCAUGAAAUCCGAGAUAGGAUCCAUGUAUGAAAACAAAGUAUGGACUUUGACUGACUUGCCUGAUGAUCGGCGAGCCAUAGAAAAUAAAUGGAUCUUUAAGAAGAAGACAGACGCGGAUGGUAAUGUGACCAUCUAUAAAGCUCGGCUUGUCGCUAAGGGUUAUCGACAAGUUCAAGGGGUUGACUACGAUGAGACUUUCUCACCUGUAGCGAAGCUGAAGUCCGUCAGAAUCAUGUUAGCAAUUGCCGCAUUCUAUGAUUAUGAGAUAUGGCAAAUGGACGUCAAAACGGCAUUCCUUAAUGGUUUCCUUAAGGAAGAAUUGUAUAUGAUACAGCCGGAAGGUUUUGUCGAUCCUAAGAAUGCUGACAAGGUGUGCAAGCUCCAACGCUCGAUUUAUGGGCUGGUGCAAACAUCUCGGAGUUGGAACAUUCGCUUUGAUGAGAUGAUCAAAGCGUUUGGGUUUAUGCAGACUUAUGGAGAAGCCUGCAUUUACAAGAAAGUGAGUGGGAGCUCUGUAGCAUUUCUCAUAUUGUAUGUGGAUGACAUACUGUUGAUGGGAAAUGAUAUAGAAUUCUUGGAAAGCAUAAAGGCCUACUUGAACAAGUGUUUUUCAAUGAAGGACCUUGGAGAAGCUGCUUAUAUAUUAGGCAUCAGGAUCUACAGAGAUAGAUCGAGAUGCCUCAUUGGUCUUUCACAGAGUACGUACCUUGACAAGAUAUUGAAGAAGUUCAAAAUGGAUCAGUCAAAGAAGGGGUUCUUGCCUGUAUUGCAAGGUACGAGAUUGAGCAUGGCUCAAUGCCCGACCACGGCAAAAGAUAGAGAAAAGAUGAGUGUCGUCCCCUAUGCCUCGGCCAUAGGGUCUAUCAUGUAUGCUAUGCUGUGUACCAGACCUGAUGUAAACCUUGUCAUGAGUUUGGUAGGAAGGUACCAAAGUAAUCCCGGCAUGGAACACUGGACAGCGGUCAAGAAUAUCCUGAAGUACCUGAAAAGGACUAAGGAAAUGUUUCUCGUUUAUGGAGGUGACGAAGAGCUCGUCGUAAAGGGUUACGUCGAUGCUAGCUUCGACACAGAUCUGGAUGACUCUAAGUCACAAACCGGAUACGUGUAUAUUUUGAAUGGUGGGGUAGUAAGCUAGUGCAAUUGCAAGCAAAGCGUUGUGGCGGGAUCUACAUGUGAAGCGGAGUACAUGGCAGCCUCGGAGGCAGCACAAGAAGCAGUCUGGGUGAAGGAGUUCAUUACCGACCUAGGAGUCAUAACCAAUGCAUCGGGCCCAAUGACUCUCUUCUGUGACAACACUGGAGCUAUUGCCCUUGCCAAGGAGCCCAGGUUUCACAGGAAGACCAGGCAUAUCAAGCAUCGCUUCAACUCCAUUCAUGAAAGUGUUCAAAGUGGAGACAUAGAGAUUUGUAAAGUACAUACGGAUCUAAAUGUCGCAGAUCCGUUGACUAAACCUCUCCCUAGAGCAAAACAUGAUCAACACCAGAAUUCCAUGGGUGUUCGAUUCAUCACAAUGUAACUAGAUGAUUGACUCUAGUGCAAGUGGGAGACUGUUGGAAAUAUGCCCUAGAGGCAAUAAUAAAAUGAUUAUUAUAUUUCCUUGUUCAUGAUAAUUGUCUAUUAUUCAUGCUAUAAUUGUAUUAUCCGGAAAUCAUGAUACAUGUGUGAAUACAUAGACCACAAUGUGUCCCUAGUGAGCCUCUAGUUGACUAGCUCAUUGAUCGAGGUAUUGGGAUACCGACGAUCGAGUCUCGGGCAAGUAACGUACCGAUUGACAAAGGUAAUUGUAUACAGGGUUGCUUGAAUCCUCGACAUCGUGGUUCAUCCAAUGAGAUCAUCGAGGAGCAUGUGGGAGCCAACAUGGGUAUCCAGAUCCCGCUGUUGGUUAUUGGCCGGAGAGCCGUCUCGGUCAUGUCUACGUGUCUCCCGAACCCGUAGGGUCUACACACUUAAGGUUCGGUGACGCUAGGGUUGUAGAGAUAUGAGUAUGCAGUAAUCCGAAAGUUGUUCGGAGUCCCGGAUGAGAUCCUGGACAUCACGAGGAGUUCCGGAAUGGUCCGGAGGUGAAGAAUUAUAUAUAGGAAGUGUAGUUUCGGCCAUCGGGAAAGAUUCGGGGUCACCGGUAUUGUACCGGGACCACCGGAUGGGUCCCGGGGGUCCACCGGGUGGGGCCACCCAUCCCGGAGGGCCCCAUGGGCUGAAGUGGGGAGGGGAACCAGCCCAUAGUGGGCUGGUGCACCCCCCCUUGGCCCCCCCUGCGCCUAGGGUUGGAAACCCUAGGGUGGGGGGCGCCUCCACUUGCCUUGGGGGGCACUCCACCCCCCUUGGCCGCCACCCCCUUGGGAGAUCCCAUCUCCAGGGCCGGCACCCCCCCAGGGGGCCUAUAUAAAGGGGGGGAGGGAGGGCAGCCGCACCUCAAGUCUUGGCGCCUCCCUCUCCCCUGCUACACCUCUCCCUCUCGCAGAAGCUCGGUGAAGCCCUGCUGCGAUCACUACUGCAUCCACCACCACGCCGUCGUGCUACUGGAUCUUCAUCAACCUCUCCUUCCCCCUUGCUGGAUCAAGAAGGAGGAGACGUCAUCCGCUCCGUACGUGUGUUGAACGCGGAGGUGCCGUCCGUUCAGCACUUGGUCAUCGGUGAUUUGGAUCACGGCGAGUACGACUCCAUCAUCCCCGUUCUCUGAACGCUUCCGCUCGUGAUCUACAAGGGUAUGUAGAUGCACUCCUAUCUCCCUCGUUGCUAGAUGACUCCAUAGAUUGAUCUUGGUGAUGCGUAGAAAAUUUUAAAUUCUGCUACGAUCCCCAACUAUAACAUCUACGCAUAGACCUGGCUCGGAUGCCACUGUUGGGGAAAGCAGUAAUUUCAAAAAGGGACAAAUGCAUUUUUGCCCCUAGUUGGAACAUACCCAUGGGUUUUGCCCUUACUUUUCGACUCUGCUCAGUUUUGCCCUUAGAUUUUUCUCCGAGGUCACCCGAAUGCCCUUGGACCGUUUGACCAAUACUUUGAAAAUUCAUAACAAAUUGAUAUGAACUCAGAAAAAUGUAAAUAAGAUAUCAAAAUGUUCAGAUAAACAUUACCUUUAUGUAUAUGUCAUUUGCAUUUAGGACAAAAGUACUGUUUAAACUACCAAAGGUUAUUAAUGUUUUUAACAUUAUUAAAAACAAAAAGGUAUAAACAAUACUUUUUCAAGAAUAAAAAUUACAUGCAAAUGUAGGUGACACUUUCUGAACAUCCUGAUAUCUUGUUUGCAUUUUUCUGAUUUCAUAUCAACUUGUUAUGAAGUUUCAAAAUAAUGAUCAAAGUCGUUUGAAACUUCAUAACAAGUUGAUAUGAACUCAGAAAAAUGCAAAAAAAAGAUAUCAGGAUGUUCAGAAAACAUCACCUACAUUUGCAUGUAAUUUUUAUUGUUAAAAAAAGUAUUUUUAUACCUUUUUAUUUUUAAUAAUGUUAAUAACAUUAAUAACCUCAGGUAGUUUAAAUGAUACAUUUGUCCUUAAUGCAAAUGAGAUGCACAUAAAGGUAAUGUUCUUCUGAACAUUUCGAUAUCUUAUUUGCAUUUUUCCGAGUUCAUAUGAAUUUGCUAUGAAUUUUCAAAGUACUGGUCAAAUGGUCAAAGGGCAUUCGUGUGACCUCGGGGGCAAAUCUAAGGGCAAAAUUGAGCAGAGUCGAAAAGUAAGGGCAAAACCCGUGGGUAGGUUCCAACUAGGGGGAAAAAUGCAAUUUUCCCGUUCAAAAAUAUUCCUACGCACAUGCAAGAUCUAUCAUGGUGAUGCAUAGCAACGAGAGGGGAAGAGUGUUGUCCACGUACCCUCGUAGACCGUAAGCGGAAGCAUUAUGACAACGCGGUUGAUAUAGUCGAACGUCUUCACGAUCCGACCGAUCCUAGCACCAAAGAUACGGCACCUUCGCGAUUUGCACACGUUCAGCUCGGUGACGUCCCGCGAACUCUAGAUCCAACUGCGUGUCGAGGAAGAGUUUCGUCAGCACAACGGCAUGAUGACGGUGAUGAUGAAGCUACCGGCGCAGGGCUUCGCCUAAGCAAUGCAACGAUAUGACCGAGGUGGAUUAUGGUAGAGGGGGGCACCGCACACGGCUAAACAAUGUCAACUUGUGUGUUCUAGGGUGCCCCCUGCCCCCGUAUAUAAAGGAGCAAGCGGGAGGCCGGACGACCCUUGGGGCGCCCAUGGAGGGGAGGAAUCCUCCUCCUAGUAGGAAUAGGAUUCAUCCUUUCCUCGUCCUACUAGAAGGGGGAAGGAAGGAGUGGGAGAGGGGAAGGAAAAGGGGGGGCGCCCCCCCCCAUCCUAGUCCAAUUCGGACUCAAGGGGGAGGGAGCGCGCGGCCUGCCCUGGCCGCCCCUCUCACUCUCUCCACUAAGGCCCAUCUAGGCCCAUUAGUCCCCCCCGGGGGGGGGGGGGUCCGGUAACCCUCCCGCACUCCGGUUUUAUCCGAAACCACCCGGAACACUUCCGGUGUCCGAAUAUAGCCGUCCAAUAUAUCAAUCUUUAUCUCUUGGCCAUUUCGAGACUCCUCGUCAUGUCCGUGAUCACAUCCAGGACUCCGAACCAUCUUUGGUACAUCAAAACACAUAAAUUCAUAAUACCGAUCGUCACCGAACGUUAAGCGUGCGGACCCUACGGGUUCGAGAACUACGUAGACAUGACCGAGACUCAUCUCCGGUCAAUAACCAAUAGCGGAACCUGGAUGCUCAUAUUGGUUCCUACAUAUUCUACGAAAGAUCUUUAUCGGUCAAACCGCAUAACAACUUACGUUGUUCCCUUUGUCAUUGGUAUGUUACUUGCCCGAGAUUCUAUCGUCGGUAUCUUAAUACCUAGUUCAAUCUUGUUACCGGCAAGUCUCUUUACUCGUUCCGUAAUGCAACAUCCCGCAACUAACUCAUUAGUCACAUUGCUCGCAAGGCUUAUAGUGAUGUGCAUUACCGAGAGGCCCAGAGAUACCUCUCCGAUACACGAAGUGACAAAUCCUAAUCUCGAUCUAUGCCAACUCAACAAACACCAUCGGAGACACAUGCAGAGCAUCUUUAUAGUCACCCAGUUACGUUGUGACGUUUGAUAGCACACUAAGUGUUUCUCCGGUAUUCGGGAGUUGCAUAAUCUCAUAGUCAUAGGAACAUGUAUAAGUUAUGGAGAAAGCAAUUGCAGUAAACUAAACGAUCAAAGUGCUAAGCUAACGGAUAGGUCUUGUCCAUCAUAUCAUUCUAUAAUGAUGUGAUCCCGUUCAUCAAAUGACAACACAUGUCCAUGGCUAGGAAACUUAACCAUCUUUGACUAACGAGCUAGUCAAGUAGAGGCAUACUAGGGACACUCUGUUUGUCUAUGUAUUCACACAUGUACUAAGUUUUUGGUUAAUACAAUUCUAGCAUGAAUUAUAUACAUUUAUCAUGAUAUAAGGAAAUAUACAUAACAACUUUAUUAUUGCAUCUAGGGCAUAUUUCCUUCAAACUUUUCUUUUCGUUAAUCGGGAUUAUUAAUACACAACAAGCUUGCAACGAAUGGAUGGGAAGAAAGUGGUUGAGUGUCAUUAUGACUACAUUCAUGUAAGUAUUAAAAAAUUGUUAGUGCGAGAAAACAUCAUUAAUUUUUACCUCGAUUACUGUUGGUAGCCUUGUAUUGAUGCAAAAUGUAUUUUUGAUAGUGGGAAUGGAGGGAGUAUUUUUCUUAUUGACAUUAUAUUCCACACAACCAACAUGUUUCACGUGGUGAGUCAAAACGUGCUAUUUUUUCAUUAAAAAGUACUCCCUCUGAUCCAUAUUAUUUGACGUUGUUUAGAACAACUUUUACAAAGUUAUACUAAAGCAGUGUUAAUUAAUAUGAAAAUGACUUCAAUACAAAUUUAUACUAAAGCAACGCCAAUUAAUAUGGAUAUGAGGGGGUACAUGAAAUGACUUCACUACAAAAUUAUACCGAAGCAACGUUAGUUAAUAUGGUUCGGAGAGAGUAUAUGAAAUGACUUCAGUUGUGACAAGGCUGCUUUCUUACCUAGCUUCAUCUAUGUUCUGGAUUUUAUGAAACACGACAAUGAUAUUAUUGCUUAAACGGCACACGCUUGUUGCUGAUAUAAUUGGGGCACCAGUUUACGCAAACCCUUCGUUUCAACAGCAGCAAAGCACAUUCUGGUUUAUGUAGUGCUUUCUCCCUAUAUAUGCUGCAGCUUUUGACCUCUGCAUUCUGGUAGUGACAUGAGUUCCAUCUCUUCCCCAGAUGCAAUCCUGGAAUGACAUUACAAGAUGGUGUUAUGGCUACAACAGAACAGUAACAACAUACUAUAAGUGCUCAUCUUGAAGUAUGGAUACCAUCUUGGGCUAGUACGAAUCUUGGUAGGAGUCUGGCCGGUUGGUGACAUGAUCAUCUCUCCUCCGAGUUUCCCAAAAUCAUACAACACUUGCUUGAAGUACCUGGAGAUGAUCUCCUUCAGGUGUUAUGUACAAACCUAAACCUCUGGUUAUGAACAACAACAUGGAGGAACAUGACUACUUCCUCUUCCAUAGUGGUGUGGAUGCUAUCUUCUAGCACCCCCCUGCUUCUGAACAUCUCCACAAGCCUGGUGAAAGGUCCUCUUUUGAUUUGAAGCAUCCACAAAGCCUUUGUGUCGUUGCAGUUGUAGAUGUAGUUCAGAUUCGCUACGCUCUCUUGAUCCUGGAUUAACAUCGGAUCAUACCGGAUGAAAGGUUUGUCAUCCGACAAACAACUCUUGCUUAUGGACCAAUAUGAUCCAUGCUUGAAACACAACUAUCAGCGCUGAUGCCUGGACUAGAAGCUUCGUCCGUUGAUCCACAACCUAAGCGACAUACAUUGAUGCGAUCAACAAUGGCGCGAUCGACAAAUCAAAUAAAACAUGUCUUUAUAACCGUAAGUAAAAAAAACACAAUCGAGAUACCUUGUUGAUUGCAUCUAAUCAUGUCACAUGUGAUAGACUUUAGAACUACUAUGUAUCCUCAGAAUGGUAUCAGAGUUGACAUAAACAAGCAUUGCCCUGGUGGACCCUUAUGAUACCAUGUAUACAUAGGUUAUCUCACCAACUGACCUUUGGAUUUUUGGAAGUAACUAUAUAUAUCAUCUGGCUUAAAAUGAGUAUGUAUUGAAUCGAUAUUUGUAGUUGUUUGUUCAGAAUCAUAUCAACCUUGCCUGAAUCUUGUAUUCAGAUUGAACGGUUUUUCGCAAUGACUUAUAAAUACAUAAUUAUCUCCCAGCCUCUUGACAAAUAACAAAACAAUACUUUUCUUAUGGCCAUGAUAUUCUGCAGAACCAACAUAUUUCAUGUGAUGAGCCAAAACAUACUAUUUUUUUCAUUAAAAGAGUAAUCCCUCUGAUCCAUAUUAAUUGACAUUGUUUUAGACAACUUUUACAAAGUUGUAAUAAAGCGACGCCAAUUGAUAUGAAUAUGAAUUAAUAUGAAAAUAACUUCGGUACAAAGUUAUACUAAAGAAACGUCAAUUAAUAUGGAUAUGAGGGAGUAUACGAACCGACUUCACUACAAAGUUGUACUAAAGCAAGGUCAGUUAAUAUGGUUCAGAGAGAGAUGAAAUGAUUUCAGUUGUAACAAGGCUGCUUUCUUCCCCAGUUUCAUCUCUAUUCUUAAUUUUACGAAAUACGACAACGAUAUUAUUGCUUAAACGACACACGCUUGCUGCUGAUACAAUCCAGGCACCAAUUUACGUAAAUCCUUCAUUUCAAGUCAAGUAAGAACUAAGCAUUUGUGUAGAAAUCACAGCUCACGAACUGAAGUUGAAAUGACAUAGCAGAACCAUACACACAGGCUGCGAUAGCUUUGAUGCUACAGAGAUAAAGCCGGUCCCCGAAAAUAAUUCUCCAUUCAAUGUGUAGGAUCCGUCAGCUGAGAGUGGCCGAGGACAUUGCCCGGUUGGUUGCUUGUCUCCUGGCCCUGGCGUCCUAGUGCACCCUCGCUUGCAAGCAAGGCCCGCAAUGAUGGCGCGUCCCCCGUGAUCUUGACCGAGCUUUGCUACACCUAAUCAUUCGUUAAGACGGCACGUUGAUUGCCCAUGCAACGCGGGACGGCGCGUGCACCGCGGGGCACGUAGUGCUUGGCGCAAAGUCAUCGUCAUAUCCACUAUGCUAGUGCUGGUACGAUGAUGUGCUGAUAAUGGAUGGAGCAAGUGAGUUUUCUCUCUUUUGUUCGGUUGCCUAUUUAAAGACGUCCUAUUUAAAAGAAAAGGCUAAAGGCCUACUAUACUAGAAUGGAAUGAGGAUGCGGAAAAGGGCUCGGAGCAGUACCGAGAUUCGUCUGAGAACGAGUUGGUCAUGUCGCCAAACGUUUUGGCUAGGCUAGAAAGCAUGGCUAGCUAGCUAGGAACGUUGCUGCACGUACGAUCACCCAUCAUCCCGACGAAAUGCGUGGACCACCACACAAUAUCAUCCAGAGUGCGUCGACGUCUCGACGAUCCACUUCUGGGUGCAACGAACCAGGGCGCUAUUCACCAAAAUUCUUCCUCCAUGCCGUGGUAGCAGUGAUGCCCGGAAAGUAACGAGCUCACCAAGACGGGGGAACAAGCAGCAGAGCUCCACCUGGCCUUUUCCUUUCCCGGCGACGGUUCGCUCGCGUGCCCGGGGUCUGGGCGAGAUCUGGAACCAGAAGAAGAAAGAAAGGAGACCGCCCCACACGCGGCUUGCAGUUGCAGGUGGAUCACGCCAGGGCAUCAUGAUCGUGGUAACCCGCACUGGGAGUGGGAUGUUGGCGCCCGUCGCAGCAACCGCCAGGAGAUCCGCGCUCCUGUGUUUCCCCGCCGCGGUGCACCCAACCGAAACCCCGCAGCCUCUGCCCCCAGCCGCACCACCGCCCUUCAUCAUCAUGCAAAGGCAAAGCCCAAAGCCCAAGCCCAAAGGAGGAUGGCGCAGAAUUACCAUGAGGAACAGCACAUUUCUUUUUUACGUUUUCUUCUUUUUACUCAAAGCAAAGCAAAGCAGGCGCACCACAAAAACAAAGCGGGUCACCACCGGCCGUAGUAAUCAGUCACGGUCUCCAACCUCGUUUAACCGCCUCUGACUGAAACAGCGUGCGGCGUGCGUGCGCCUGCUGUUAGCUGUCACGCUGCAUGUCUGCCACGCACGGCGGUGCUCGUCCAUCUCGCUGCCCCCGGGCCCCACGACCGUGUGCCGCUACACGGGCCCAGCCCGCAGUGACAGCCGCCAGGCGUGUUCCAUACACCUAGGAUCGGCUUUCGCAUCCGAGUACACAGUACCAUGAUCUGUGUCCUCUGUAGGCCACGUUCUGUUUAGCUAUGGGGGCGGUACAGUAACUAAUUCCGGCUUCCGCUGUCACCAUGAGAGGGCAGGAUCGACAACCCCGUGCCGUGCUGUGGGUGGGGCCCGCGGUACUGUGACUGACAGGAAUUUCACGUUACUUUUUUUUAGCAUCAGUACAGACACAAGCGCUCAUAUACACGCACAUACACUCACCCCUAUGAACGCACACACGCACACCUUACCUCUAUGAGCACCUCCGAGAGACUGAGCCGGCAUAUCAUCUUGAGAUUUACGAAGUCACCGUAGGCGCCUCGUCGUCAACGGAAACGUCUCCUCCCACUAAAAGCGCAUCGCCGGAAAUCCUGAAAUAAAUUCAGAAAUAAUGCGAGCACCAGGAUUUAAACCCUGAUAGGUUGGGGAUAUCACUGUUCACCUAACCAACUCAAUCACAGGAAUUUCACGUUACUGCAGGGAUGGGAUGUUUGGGGGUCGUCCUGCCGCCCCUACGUUUGGUGGCCAUAAAAGCCCAGAUAAGCUUCCGGAUAACUAACGAGGAACUCGCGACUUUGCAGUGUGAUCAAGUCCUCCCAUCGAUCUGUUUCCUUUUCGCGUUGCAGGUAAAAACGUACGUACGUACGCAGUACUUGCGAUCUCGCCCUGUAAAUGUUGGACUUGUGAUGUGACGAAGAAGGCGUCCUUGGAUGGCCAUAGAAUUUCGUUGCAAACGACCGGCGCUCGUGCCUCGAUUAAUAUCGCCGCCGGACGGACGGGCCACAGGACAUUCUCUGUCAAAUAAACUCAGGAUCAAGUACUCGCACCUACUAGUAUUUUUUCUCUCUCUCUUCUAGUAGCACAGUUUUCUCUUAGCAAUUGAACAGUUCCUAGUUUUCUUAAAAAUCGUACUAGUAUACACGACGGCUCAAACAAUUCACGGGCACUUUUACUUAUCUUGGGUCCAAAUACUUGCACAGGGCUAGUGCAGCCCCACAUUGUCCCGGUUGAAGCGUAUUUGGCCCUUUUUACUCGAGUGCGGUUCGACGAAAUCGUUGCUUUCAGUAAAGAAAACGAAUCUUCAUGGAUCUCGAAGCAAAUGAGUGAGCUGAGGCGACGAUCGACAACAAACCUUAAGGCCUAGCCACUUAUUAUUAUUGUUAUCCAUAGACUACACCAGUAAGCGCACCCACCUAGGUUCAUGGAAACGCGAGAGCCCGAUAGAAAAUGUAUCCGCUUAUUGUAAUGCACGACCUCCUAUUGACCAUAACGCAAUCAAUUUUUUUAUGAUAAAAGAAUGCUGCCUUGAUUCUUUCCAUGGAACAUACAAUACUACACAAACACCACAACUAAAUGCUUCAAUAAAAAACCUGGAGUAUAAACAAAGAAGGCCGGCCAAAUGGAAGCUACUUAUCCAUUUAUUGAUUUCUUGCAUUUUAAUGAACACGAAAAAAAUCGGAAACAAUUAAAUGGGGACUUCUUUAUCAUAGUAUUUGUAUUUUAAUGAGAACACAAAAGAAGUCGUCAACACAGGAAUGGAAACAAGCAGUCAGACCUGUGUUGGUGGUGCGAGACCACUAAUCUGCAGGGGCAGUUGGGUAACUUCGCCACCCCGAACUGAAGUCGUGGAGCGGAGGGCGCAGCCGCCCGCAUCCAACGGUCCAAACCGGAGCCUCCAAUCCACAGACAGCUCACGCGCACCCCGCCUCUCCGUCCCCGCAGUAUCCACGAGAGUGCCAGCGUCCGGCCGGCGCAGUCCGGCGCUGCCCGCAGGGGCACAUCAGUAAUUCGCUUUUCUCCGCUCUAAAUAUUUUCGCCGGCGGCCUAAGUAACGGAUCAAGAGCAAAGGGGAAAAAGACACGAGAGGCAUGGUAGAGGCAGGGGACGGAGGUUUGAAAUUGUGAGGGAGAAGCGAAACAAAAGCCCCGAGGGGAGCGGGGGGAGAGAGGGAGAUAGCGAGAGAGCGGAGUAAUUGCGUUUUUUGUUGGGGUUUUCCUCCUGAUUCGGGAGUGGGAGGAGAGUGGGGGGAGAAAUCAUCCUGUCUCUCCGGUGCUGCUCGCUUUUGAUGCGUUUCUUGGCCGAUUUCUGCUGCCGCUGCCGCUGCUAGUGCCUUGAUUCGGAGCAGGCUUUGCUUUGGUUUCGGGUUUUUUCGCCUUUCCUUUCGCCAGAGGUCGCCGGCUUUUGCCGCUGCCCAGGCUUCUUGGCCGCGUCGUCCCCUCCUCCCUUGAAAAAUCGCGGGGAGUCUGGGUUCUUUUCCACCCCCCGUCCCUCGGUGCGGCACCGCCAAAAUCUGUCCUUGGCGCCUGAGAUUGGCGCUGUUUUCGGGGCAGGGAGCGUGAGAUUUCGAGAGUUUUCUUGGGGGGAUUUCGAGGUCUCCUGGUGCCUGGUCGCGUAAUUCGGGGUUUGGGUGGGUGUCGCUUUCGGGCCCUUCCCGAGCCAGGGGGGUUCAUGCGCCUGGAGUUGGCGCUGAUUUGAUGAGAAAUGGAGAAGUCCCUGGCCUCCACGGCGCUCUGCUGUAAGAUUUGGCGUAUUGCCGUGUGAGCCCUUGCGUGCGCUCACUGGUUUGGUCCGGUGGCCUGUUGAUUUCUCGGCGGUGAUGCUCUCUGCAGCCGCCGUGAUGGCGCCAGUCCCGGCCGCUCCCAAGAGCUCCCUCGAGGCCUUGCUCGAGACCAUAAAGAAGCGCGACGAGCGGCCCAAGGAUGAGCCGCCGGCAUUGCCGGCCCGCCCGACGUGCCGUGGCCGGCUGCCCAGGGCAAGACGGUCGCCGACGCCUCCUAGGGUUCAUCUUGAGGAUGGAGUGGCAGAGGGUGCUGCAGCGGAUACUGACGAGAAGCCGGAAGCUGUAGCGGAUACUGACAAGAAGCCGGAAGCUGUGAAUGAGAAUAAGCCAGAGAUGGAGAAGGAGAAUACGCCAGAGGUCAAGAAGGAGAUUGGUGGGCAGGAGGCCAAGGAGGGGAAGGCUGUAAAUGGUCGCAUCUUUGGGGCCAAGAGAAAGCUAUGCAGUGUGGAACCAGUGGACGAGUCUCCAUAUGUUGAGAAUCUCCACGAGGAGAGGAAGGAUGCAACGGCCUGUAAGGAGCCCCCCUCUCCUUAUUUUUCCUCAGCAAGAGCAAAGAGAAAUGGGAAGCCAGUGUUUACUGAUUCCAUGGACUAUGUCCUCCAGAAGGUGAGAGUCUCGUUCAUUGUGAAAUUCAUGAGAUUUAUCCUAUUAUCAUGUGAACAAGGUAACAGACAAUUUGUUUCAACAAGUUCACUUUGUCUCUAUAGCAUAGACUUAGGCUGAAUACUUUCUCUGAUAUGAUGGCAAAACGCGCUCAGCAUUCAACACCAAGAAAUGUAAAUCAAAUUACCACUCGCAUAUGUUUAUUUGUAUGCUGAAUUUAUAGACAUAUUUACUCACAACUCCCUUCUGUAUCUACAAAAGAAUUUAUUGUUUUUUCUAUAAGUAUCCAGAACUUCUUAUCCUGCACCAUUUAGAACUAGAUGAAGCCAGUGUUUUUUAAUGCUCGUUCACGGUCAGGAAAGCAUAUUUCAUACUUGCUUUGGCCUGUGUGUCAAGUAACUUGGCAUAUUGCUGUGAUCCUCACACUAUGGAUAUGACAAACGUAACAAUUUUGCAUGUGCUUGGAAUUAGUUCUGAUAUUAACCCUUUCCUUUGAUGAUUUGAGUCUGAUGUUAUGGUAGAAAAAAUGAGGCAAAGUAAUAAUAUUUUAAUUGUUUUUCAGAAGCUACGGGUUUGGUGUUCUGCAUCAGAUGAGAAGUGGGAACUUGGACAGAUUCAAUCAAUUUCUGGAGAUGACGUUGAAAUACACCUUGUUAAUGGAGAAGUGAGUCUCAUGUUGCCCGUGAUGGUAUAGCUAUUUGGGUAAACUUUGGUAACAUUGUUACUUAUAUUUUGUUUGCGCAGGUUUUGACGCUGCCACCAGAAAGACUUUUGCCUGCCAACCCUGAUAUUCUAGAUGGAGUGGAUGAUUUGAUCCAGAUGAGCUACUUAAAUGAACCUUCUGUCCUUUACAAUCUGCAAUACCGAUACUCUCGUGAUCAUAUCUACGUACGCACUAUCCACCAAGCUCUAGAUUGUUCAUGGUCGACUCAAUGUCUCUUCAUUUGUGUUCUCUUAUCCUUGCAGACAAAAGCAGGACCUGUUCUGAUUGCUAUCAACCCACUAAAAGAGGUUCCACUCUAUGGGAAAGAUCUCAUCAGAAAAUACAGACAGAAGCUCACAAAUGAUCCACAUGUGUAUGCAAUUGCUGAUAUAGCUUUUAAUGAAAUGCUAAGAGGUAGGUGUUUAAAAGGAGUAGGCAGUUUUAUAGGAUUGUUUUGCAAGAUUUAUCUUCUAAUGCAAAUUAUGAUAACUUGCAGAUGGCAUAAACCAAUCUAUAAUAAUAAGGUCAGAAUGAUCUGCUUUGCCCUUUAUAGUAAUCACAGUAUCUUAAAAGCUUUGGGUUGCCCAAUCUUUAACAUGGUCUCUAUGAUGUUUGUCUUAUUUCAGUGGUGAAAGUGGAGCAGGAAAAACAGAAACAGCUAAAAUUGCGAUGCAGUAUUUGGCUGCUCUAGGGGGAGCUAACGGAAUGGAGUCUGAAGUUCUACAGACCAAUGUUAUUCUGGAAGCAUUAGGGAAUGCAAAAACAUCAAGAAAUGAUAACUCGAGCCGAUUUGUGAGUUUAUCUUUAGUGACAUGUUGUCAAUUCAUCAUUCUUAAGUAAUUCUUAUGACAGCUUGAUGAUAUUGAUACAGGGUAAGCUUAUUGAAAUGCACUUUUCUGAAACCGGAAAGAUUUGUGGCGCUAAAAUACAAACAUGUAAGCUUUCUGCACCAUAUAUUGUUGACAUAGCUAGUGAUAAUAUUGUUGAACUUCCUAAUAACUUGUUUCUCUGGGCAUGUAUGACGUGUUCCUCUAACUGAAUCUCAUGGAACAGUCUUGCUUGAGAAGGUACAAUAUUUGUAGACUUUAUCCAAAACUCCAUAUUUUAGUAUUUGUGAAAGCUUUAAUAUCUUAUCUUGCUUGUGCAGUCGAGGGUGGUUCGGAGGGCACCAGGAGAGAGAUCAUAUCAUAUUUUCUAUCAGCUGUGCUCUGGAGCUUCUCCUCUUCACAGAAGUAACCGCACAUUUCUAUCAAGGAAUUAAUAUAUCUACAUUUCAUUGCAUCGCUUCUCAUUUUUUGGUCUGUUAUAUGCGUGUGCUGUUGCAGAAAAAUUGUUACUGAGAGACGCCAAUUACUAUAAUUACUUGAAGCAGAGUGCUUGCUUGAGAAUUGAUGGUGUUGAUGAUGCGAAAAGAUUUUCAUCGUUAUUGGUAAUGUUUCUACAAAUCAACCACAUUUCCGACGUAACUUUGGCUAUUAUCGUUACUUGUUACUCAUCCAUUUUUUUCAUUUGCAGGGUGCAUUGGAUAUUGUUCAGAUAUCUGGGGAAAACCAGAUGGAAUUAUUUUCUAUGCUUGCAGUUGUCUUGUGGCUGGGAAACAUUUCAUUCUCUGUGAUAGACAAUGAAAACCAUGUGGAAGUUGAUUCAAAUGAAGGUACCAAUUACCCAUUGGCGAAUCUCUUUGUACAAAAAACCCCUUUUCCCUAUCAUAUUUUUCUGUUUUGAUAUACACCGUAGAAAUAUCCCAAAGUGUAAACUGUAUUCUACAUUUAUACCAAAAAGUUUAUAUUGGUGUCAUUUGAUUUUCAUGGAAUUCGCUGAAUGACUAUUGUUUCCCAUUGUUUAAUUUCUUCACAGGGUUGGCUAAUGCAGCAAAGCUGUUAGGCUGCAGUGUUCCUCAAUUGGUGAUUGCUCUCUCAACUCGUAAAAUCCAAGCUGGAAAGGAAAAUAUUGUUCAAAGACUGACAUUAACCCAGGUUUGAAAUUACCUGGAAAAUUUAUCUAUCUGGGGCUAUCUGUCAGCUCUUGCUUAUUGAUUUUCUACUCUUGGUUUUUACUUAUAAUUUCUGCUUCCUCUAGGCACUUGAUGCAAGGGAUGCUCUAGCGAAGUCAAUCUAUGCUCAUCUGUUUGACUGGAUUGUUGAGCAAAUUAACCACUCGCUUGGAACGGGGAGACAACGUACACGAAGAUCCAUAAGUAUUUUGGAUAUUUAUGGCUUCGAGUCUUUCAAUGUAUGGAGUUCAUUGCAUUUUAUCGAAUACAAUUUUUGCUUGAGUGCUCUAUAGAUGACAUUAAGUUAUACCAUUGCAGAAAAAUGGCUUUGAACAGUUCUGUAUAAAUUAUGCCAAUGAAAGGCUGCAACAGCAUUUUAACCGACAUCUAUUCAAACUAGAACAGGAGGUAAGAUUCUGACACUUCUCUGGAUUAUUUGUUUGUUUAAUGUAAUAGGUGUAAACAGUUAUAAGUCGUAUUAUUACAUACACGUUCUUCCUUGCAAACCAGGGUUUAGGGUACAUUGUGCUCUCAGUGCUUGUGUACUAAAGAUGUGAAGGACGAAAUUUCCUGAAUUUUUCAUAACUCGGGCACUAAUCGGAUGCUGAAGUUGAUUUUACAAAGCCCAAGUUAUAUAUGCAUGCUCUGAUGCAAUCACAAUGUCUGAUUUUAUAGAUAAUGGAAGCUUUUAUUAACCCCGGCCUCUGCGUCAUAGAUGCAUGCAGCCAUACUUAUUACAGAGCUUAUUACAUCAUCAAGAAAAGUGGUCUUGACUAAAAUAGAAGAAACCAUAACACCCAGUUAAAACACAAUCAAGAGCUAUUAGCCUACCACGCAAGACUACUCUACAAACUAAGAAGUCUAUCACUGGCAUGCCAUCCAAAUCCGGACAUACAAUAUCCAAUGCUACCUGUUUUAUGUUUUGUCUUCUGAGAUUCUGAGUGCGUCUGUGCUUUCCUCAACAAUAGCAGGCCUUGGUUGGUCACUGAGCUUUUUCACCCCUAUACUGCGAUUAGCAAACACCAAACCUGGAUUUAUGGUAUUUUGAGGAAAUGGUAAAUUUGAUUAUUGUCUAUGAUGUGGGAAACAGAAAAACUCGAUAUGUUUCAGGAAACACGAAAAGAUAAUAAACCACAGGACGCGGUAGAUUUCUGUUUAGCUUGGAAGUUCUGGCCUUCUGGAUAUAUCGUAAACUGGGUAACUACCACCAUGAGGAUGGCACGACAUCACAAGGAUUGAGGGAUAGAACAUAGGUGAGAUGAAGAACGUGGAUGGACUCGAUUGAUAAACUAUUUUUAUUAACUUGAUUAACAUUCAUAAUGGAUACAUCUAUCCCCUUAUAUAUGAAGGGAAGAAAGAUUCUGUUUCCAAUUCAAAUGAUGCAAUGGUUUCUAAUCCUCCUUGCCUAACUGACUGGGAUAUCAUCCUUUUUUGGGGUAGCUAGGGAGUAAGGACGUCUGAGACCUAACUAAUGCACCUAAUACCAUUUCCAGUAUUGUUAAAACACUGGUUGGAAGUUGCAUCUUACCAAUGAUCGAGCCCAACUUUGCGAAUUGCUUAGUUGUUUUAGGAUUUAUGCAGCUUGUUUUAGUUUCUGUGUUGUAAAAUUAUAAAGGUGAUUCUUGCUGUUUUCAUUUAUCUGCUCAUGCAUUCAUGUGUUUCCAGUUUUGUUUUAUGCAUUUUCCUCUGCAUCUACGUAGGCAUGCUAAUUCUAUUCUUUCAGGAGUACCUGGAUGAUGGAAUUGACUGGGCCAGUGUGGAGUUUGUGGACAACGCUGACUGUUUAUCUCUCUUUGAGAAGGUAUGCAGUAUAUUUUUCAUGGACCAACUUUACUUAUGGACCAUAUCCUCGAGCUAUCUACAUUGCCAGUUGGAGUAAUGUUGCAAUUUGAUAUAUUUUUAUGCAUUUCUUUUAUAAUUACUGACCUGACAUGUGCAACCUGUAACUGGACGUGCUUUUAGUCAAAUUUCCUUUCCGUGGUCAUUCGAUUUUUCUUGUUAUUAGUUCUGCCAUGCGAAUGUCUUGCAGUGCAGAAAUUUAUCAUUCCUGUCACCAAAACUCCUUGGGCUCACUGAUGUCUGAGACUCUCUGAGUUACUUAAGUACUUCACAUCAAACUACUCCAGCAUAAAUGACAUCAUCCAUGAUAAAGUGAUUUUUUAAUAGAUUUAAAUAUCUUUAGGAGGAGCGCCCCUAUGCUUUCCUAAAAGAGAACACUAAAAAUCAUAAAUGCACACAUUAUUGUUUGGCUGCAAUUGUUAAAGAAUUGUGAAGUCCUUGAUGGUGAUGACAUAUUAAUACCUUUUGAUAUUAGUUUCACUGUUUAUAUGUUCUAUAAUUGUAUGUGCAUUAGUUAGGCCUCAGACGUCCUUACUAAUAUUUUUGUGUUACAGAAGCCUCUAGGGCUAUUGUCUUUGCUGGAUGAAGAGUCUACGUUCCCAAAGGCAACAGAUCUUUCCUUUGCUAACAAACUUAAGCAGCAUUUGAGUGGAAACCCUGGAUUUAAGGGCGAACAAGAUGGUGCUUUUAAGAUUUGUCAUUAUGCUGGAGAGGUUGGUGGUCCUCAAAUACAUAUUUCUCCAUUUGUGAGCUUGUUCGAUAAACCAUCAUUAUUUGUGUGGAAGCUCUCUGUAUGCUAAUUGAUAAUUGUGCACACUGUAAUUCUAGGUUUCAUAUGAUACAACUGGGUUCUUGGAGAAGAAUAGAGAUCCACUGCACACCGAGUCAAUUCAAUUAUUCUCUUCGUGCAAAAGUGAUCUUCCAAAAGAUUUUGCGUCUGUCAUGAUUGCUGAUUCUCAGAAUAAAUCAAGUUUGUCACGUCACUUAUUAGUUGAUACACAAAAACAAAGCGUUGUGAACAAAUUUAAGGUAUUCAUCAUCUAUUCAUUUGAUUUAUCGUUUGAGCAUGUUCUCAAGCUUUCUGAUUAUUUUCUUUCAGUUUUAUAAUUUGCAUGUAUUUUUCUAGUAACAUCUCAAUGCAUGAUGUUGCUUGCAUUAUUAUCAAGAUGGCUUUACAUAUAACGAUCUCGAUACUCUCUUUAAUACCCAGGCUCAACUAUUCAAGCUAAUGCAGCAAUUAGAGAAUACAAGUCCUCAUUUCAUUCGAUGCAUCCAGCCAAAUAACAAACAGCGCCCGAGGCAAUUCGAACAUGACCUUGUCUUGCACCAGCUUAAGUGCUGUGGGGUGUUUGAAGUUGUGCGGAUAUCAAGAGCAGGCUAUCCAACUCGGAUGACACACCAACAGUUUGCUGAAAGGUUGCUACUUUACCGAGCUACACUAUUUUUUUGCUUGAAAUGCAGAGCUAGAUUUAAUGAGCACACUUCUUUAUUUUGUUCAAUACUAGCACACAGCUGACUUCCAGGUUCCAUCUUUUUAUAAUAAUCUGCAGAUAUGGAUUUCUUCUCUCUCAUUCUGUCGCAUCUCAGAACCCACUUAGUAUUUCAGUUGCUGUAUUACAGCAAUUCAGUAUACCCCCAGAAAUGUAUCAAGUUGGCUACACAAAAUUGUUUCUUCGUACGGGACAGGUAUAACAAGCAUUCUAAUAGUUUUCAUCGUACACUCAACUAUCCAGUUUAAUUUGCAAGAUCAAUAAUAUUUUGGUACACCGUAAUCAAAUUUACUUCGUAAUGAUUUUCUAUUCGUGCAUGUGGAAUUAUGUAUGUUGCUUGUCAUUCUUAUUGAUAAUUUUGUAGGUUGCUUCACUGGAAAAUGCUAAAAAUCGGAUGUUCCAUGGAGCUCUUCGGAUUCAGAGAAACUUCCGUGGGUUGCAUACUCGACGAGAAUAUCACACACUGAAGAAAGGAGCAACGGCUUUGCAGUCAUGUAAUAUUUUAAACAAAUUGCCUUUCUAGGACGUGCAGACCUCGAAAUUGAAAUAAUCCUCCUUGCUCUGUUAAUCAACAAAAUCUUGGUUAUUUCACUUACCUUUUUACAUUUGCCAAUGUACAGUUGUAAGAGGUGAAAAGGCAAGAUUUCGAUUUGAUUCCCUUUCCAAGAGAUGGAGGGCAGCUGUUCUCAUACAGAAGUACACUAGGCGUCGACUUGCAGCCACCAUGUUUACUGAUCAGCUAAAAAAUAUUGUUGUUCUACAGUCUGGUAAUUUAUGAAGGCGUAGCAUCACAAUAUUGCAGUAGAUUAUUGCGAUCAUCACUUCAUCUAAUCAUCUGCUUCCAUAUAUUUCUACAGUGAUGCGUGGGUGCCUGGCUAGGAAGAAAUUCAAGUGCUUGCAGGAAGAAAAGGAAUCUAAAGUCAUUAACAGCAAAGUUAAAAGGGAUGUAAGGAAUAAUAUCUCACAACCGAGGUUAUGCCAUGUGAGUUCUAGGUCACCAUAUCUCUAUAUUUUAUCCGUUAUAGCAAGACCCUGGCUGCUGCUGCAUACCACUUUUAUGCAGCAUCGGAUGGGUAAUAAUUUACUAUUGAAUCCAGCACUGGAUGGGAACUACUCUAUAACUAUGUGCCUAAUCAUCAACAAAGAGCUAUUGAAAAUGUUUGUUUUAUUAAUAUAAGGUUUCCCUGCACUUGGUUUAACUGCCUAAUGGCAGAGGCGUCAGAGGUUUGAUAGUAUUUUAAUGAUUUGCAUCCCAUGUCAGGAAAUGAAUGGAGAGUAUCCUCGCCAACCAGUUGUCACAGAACUCGAGGGACGCGUUUCAAAAGCUGAGGCUUUAUUACGAGACAAAGAGGAAGAAAAUGUGAUGCUGAAGCAACAAUUGGAACAGUAUGAGAAUAAAUGGUCAGAAUAUGAGACUAAGAUGAAAGUUAUGGAAGAGGCAUGGAAGAAACAGCUCUCUUCUCUGCAGGUAAAUCAUUUUUAGUAGCUUUUGUUUUCAUUUAAGGCACUCGAUCAACAUCUUCUAAAACAUGAAAUUCAUCUGACAAGAUAAUGACAACAUAUACUACUUCUGCAUGCCUUGUGUGAUGAAAUCUGAAGUAUUCACGAAUGUUGUGUCAAGCAUGCCUUGAACUAAAGACUAGAUGCAUGUAGAGUUUGAAUAUUUGAAUGUUAGAGAAGAGUGUCUCAUAAUUCCAUGGCAUUCAGUAGUGUUUUUUUGCAUUACCCUUGAGAUGAUGCGAUCCUCUUGUUUUCCUUUCAGUUGAGUCUUGUGGCUGCUAAGAAGAGCCUAGCUGCUGAUGACAUGGUCACCCGAGCAGCUCGGACUGAUACCACUCCAACACAUGCUCAAUACGACUCUGAAGAUACAAUGUCCACAGGGACCCAUACCCCAGAAGGGACAGAGUUGAAAUACCAAAACCACAACCCUGAACCUAGAGUGGUGACAGGAAACUCAGAUAGGCGAAUAAAUGCUGUGAAUCACCUAGCAAAGGAGUUUGAGGAUAGGCGGCAGGUGUUCGAUGAUGAUGCUGGCUUCCUUGUUGCCGUGAAAUCCGGACAGAUUGGUUCGAAUAUGAAUCCAGACGACGAACUCAGGAAGCUGAAGGACCGGUUUGCUACAUGGAAGAAAGACUACAAAUCUCGGUUGAAGGAGACGAAGGUAAACCUUCAAAAGGUCAGCAGUCAUGACGAGAAAUCUCGGAAAAGAUGGUGGGGGAAGAAGAGCUCCAAGUGAACGUGGAAGUUACAAGGUCAGAGCAUUUCCUCACAUUUUGAGUGCCAUUGCAUCAAAGGAAGAGAGAUCAAGAAAUGGCGGGAGAGAAGGCGGUUUCGUGAUUCUCUCUAUCGCAAGCAAGCCUGGUGAGAUGGCGGCGACGGCGAACUCCAUCGUCGAUACCUGCGCGUCCAGUUUUUCAGGAGUGUCUGAAAGAGUUGCAAGAGGCACAGCAAGAGAUCUGUACAUGUAUGUUAGUUCUGAGUUGUCAUUGUAUGUAUGUGUAUGUUGUCGUGUAUGUAGAGCGAUGAACCGGAAAUAUGAAAGGGUAAUUAAAUACAGAUUAUCCGCCGAGAGCGAAUAGAGAUGCAGCAGCAGGAUUGUAAUGUGUACAGCAAAGAAAUCGUUGGAAUGUGCAAGGCGUUUGAAUCCAUUGUUUCCUCACUUG
rnacentral:lncRNA from 1 species